GAUGGCAUAUUCAAGCUCAACAGACCAAAUCACCGGUCUCUCUCUGGAUCUACUCUGGGAUUGAUUUGUAUGCCGAUUUUCCCGCUGAACCGAGCCAUG
rnacentral:snoRNA from 1 species